AGGGAGGAGUGCAGUGGCGCGAUCUCGGCUCACUGCAACCUCUGCCUCCCGGGUUCAAGCUAUUCUCCUGCCUCAGCCUCCCGAGUAGCUGGGACUACAGGUGCCCGCAACCACACCCGGCUAUUUGUGUGUGUGUGUAUUUUUAGUAAAGACGGGGUUUCAGCGUGUUAGCCAGGAUGGUCUCCAUCUCCUGACCUGGUGAUCUGCCCGCCUCGGCCUCCCAAAGUGCCAGGAUUACAGGGAGAAUCACAUUUCUCCAAUCUCUUGAAGUUAGCUGUAGCCAGAUGACCUGCUUUGGCCAAUAUCUAAAAGCAAAUAUGACUUUGUCACUUCAGAUCAAAGCAUUUCAGAGAUGAUGCACAACUCUACCCCACUCUCCCCUGCCACACCAUCUAAGGAAGCCACAUCUUCCAGAUGAUACUUCUACAAGAUGAUGGAUUCAUUACGUUUCAGCAUAAAGAACAGUUGCCCCAAAGAGUUUUCCAGAUCUGCAGAGAACGUCAACCCAAGAAAAAAAAUUGUACUGAGCCUGUAAAAUUUAGGGAUUAUUUGUUGCCUCAGUAUAAUCUAACCUAUCGUCAAUGACAGCAUUGUCUAGAAGGUUAGAACACUGAAAUGCCAAAGGAGAAUAGCAUGACCCCUAUAAGAAUGGAGCCAUCACAAAUCACCCACAACACUGCAAAGGAAAUGUUCCAACAGCAAGCUCUGAUGUUAGUAUGAGCGAAUUACAUAAUGAGCUCAAAAUGCUGUGUUUGUUAGACCAUCCUUGAAUACUUAAAUACAAUUGUACAGUUUACUGUUUUUUGAAAUGAAAGCAAGAAUAAAAAACUCAAACUUA